rnacentral:rRNA from 1 species
CCUACGGGAGGCAGCAGUAAGGAAUAUUGGUCAAUGGAGGCAACUCUGAACCAGCCAUGCCGCGUGCAGGAAGACAGCCCUAUGGGUCGUAAACUGCUUUUAUACGGGAAUAAACUUUGAUUCGUGAAUCAAGCUGAAUGUACCGUAAGAAUAAGGAUCGGCUAACUCCGUGCCAGCAGCCGCGGUAAUACGGAGGAUCCAAGCGUUAUCCGGAUUUAUUGGGUUUAAAGGGAGCGUAGGCGGCCUAUUAAGUCAGGGGUGAAAGACGGUGGCUCAACCAUCGCAGUGCCUUUGAUACUGAUGGGCUUGAAUAUAGUUGAGGUAGGCGGAAUGUGACAAGUAGCGGUGAAAUGCAUAGAUAUGUCACAGAACACCGAUUGCGAAGGCAGCUUACUAAGCUAUGAUUGACGCUGAGGCUCGAAAGCGUGGGGAUCAAACAGGAUUAGAUACCCUGGUAGUCCACGCCCUAAACCGAUGAUAACUCGAUGUUGGCCGAUAUACAGUCAGCGCCGACGACGAACGACGUUACGUUAUACUACCGUCGGUAGGUACGCCCGCCGACGGUAGAACGUACGAAGAGUAGUAGACGACGAGAGAGNGACGACGGACGACGACGAGGGAGGAG